rnacentral:rRNA from 1 species
GUUUGAUCCUGGCUCAGAGCGAACGUUAGCGGCAGGCUUAACACAUGCAAGUCGAGCGAGAAAGGGGCUUCGGCUCCGAGUAAAGCGGCGGACGGGUGCGUAACACGUGGAUAAUCUGCCUCGUGGCGGGGGACAACAGUCCGAAAGGACUGCUAAUACCGCAUGUCAGGUCGGAAACUCCGGUUUCUGACGAAAAAGAGGGCGUCCGCAAGGAGCUCUCACCACGAGAUGAGUCCGCGUCCCAUCAGCUAGUUGGCGGUGUAAUGGACCACCAAGGCUUAGACGGGUAGCUGGUCUGAGAGGAUGACCAGCCACACUGGGACUGAGACACGGCCCAGACUCCUACGGGAGGCAGCAGUGGGGAAUAUUGGACAAUGGGCGAAAGCCUGAUCCAGCCAUGCCGCGUGAGUGAUGAAGGCCUCGGUCGUAAG